AGCUUCAGUAGCGUAUAUUAAAGUUGUUGCAUUUAAAAAGCUCGUAGUUGAUGUUUCGCUUACCACACUUUGUUGCUUUUGCGAACUUUGAGUGGAAAGCUGAUAUUUGGUGGCAACACCAUCUACACCGUGAAUAAAUUAGAGUGAUCCAAACAGGUUGGGCCUGAAUGCUUCAGCAUGGUAUGGGUACUUGACGACGUCGGCCUCUUGCACUUGUGCCUGAGAUUCGUACGGAGUAAAGAUUAAUAGAGAUGGAUGAUGGAAUUCGUAUUGAGUUGCUAGAGGUGAAAUUCUUGGACCAACGCAAGACGACCUGAAGCGAAAGCUUUUUCCACAGAUGCUCUUA
rnacentral:rRNA from 1 species